rnacentral:rRNA from 1 species
AACGAACGCUGGCGGCAUGCCUAACACAUGCAACUCGAACGAGACCUUCGGGUCUAGUGGCGCACGGGUGCGUAACGCGUGGGAACCUGCCCUUAGGUUCGGAAUAACUCCCCGAAAGGGGUGCUAAUACCGGAUAAUGUCUUCGGACCAAAGAUUUAUCGCCUUUGGAUGGGCCCGCGUUGGAUUAGCUAGUUGGUAGGGUAAAAGCCUACCAAGGCGACGAUCCAUAGCUGGUCUGAGAGGAUGAUCAGCCACACUGGGACUGAGACACGGCCCAGACUCCUACGGGAGGCAGCAGUGGGGAAUAUUGGACAAUGGGCGAAAGCCUGAUCCAGCAAUGCCGCGUGAGUGAUGAAGGCCUUAGGGUUGUAAAGCUCUUUUACCCGGGAUGAUAAUGACAGUACCGGGAGAAUAAGCUCCGGCUAACUCCGUG